GUUCACCUCGUAAACAGAUCUAGGAUCUUCAACUCCGAUCAUCAGCAUACAGAUCAUGGAUUCCCACUGCGUUCUGCUCAUAGAAUCUCCAACGAACACGACUCUUUUGCCGCGGAGCUUCUCCAGCACCGCGGUGGCGUUGAAUUGAGGUAUGUCGCAACCGUGAGGUUUCCAUCUCAAUCUCAUGUAAUCCGUGUCUUUCCUUCCAUUCUUCAGGCAGUUGAACCCUCGCUCAGUAAAGGGACAGGUUGAGCUGUUGUAGAGAGGAUGAGCGUUUGAGAAGAUCCAACUUCCAUCGAAUAUAUCACAGUCGGCGACGGUGCUGACGUUUUCCGCCAAAACGAUUGGAUUAUUCCGACGAUCGG
rnacentral:lncRNA from 1 species